GUGAAUCAUCGAAUCUUUGAACGCAAAUUGCACUCUCUGGUAUUCCGGAGAGUAUGCCUGUUUGAGGGUCAGUUUAAAUACAAAUCGGUGUGGUUGCUGCCUUUCGUGGUGACGCACCGGGUUUGGGUCGUCUUUCCUUCGGUUCAGUUGCUUCACUUUGUGCAUGAUCUUUUUCGAACGGAUAUGCACGAUUUUACGUACGUUGGUGAUAUCGCUAACUCUGU
rnacentral:misc_RNA from 1 species